UACGUAGGGUGCAAGCGUUUGUCCGGAUUUAUUGGGCGUAAAGAGCUCGUAGGCGGUUUGUCGCGUCGGAUGUGAAAACCCAGGGCUCAACCCUGGGCCUGCAUUCGAUACGGGCAGACUAGCGUAUGGCAGGGGAGACUGGAAUUCCUGGUGUAGCGGUGAAAUGCGCAGAUAUCAGGAGGAACACCGGUGGCGAAGGCGGGGUCUCUGGGCCAAAAACUGACGCUGGAGGAGCGAAAGCGUGGGGAGCGAACAGG
rnacentral:rRNA from 1 species